rnacentral:rRNA from 1 species
AGUGAACGCUGGCGGCAGGCCUAACACAUGCAAGUCGAGCGGCAGCGCGGGGUCAACCCUGGCGGCGAGCGGCGGACGGGUGAGGAAUUCGUCGGAAUCUGCCUUUUUGUGGGGGAUAACGUAGGGAAACUUACGCUAAUACCGCAUACGUCCUACGGGAGAAAGUGGGGGACCGCAAGGCCUCACGCAGAAAGAUGAGCCGACGACCGAUUAGCUAGUUGGUGGGGUAAAGGCCCACCAAGGCGACGAUCGGUAGCUGGUCUGAGAGGAUGAUCAGCCACACUGGGACUGAGACACGGCCCAGACUCCUACGGGAGGCAGCAGUGGGGAAUAUUGGACAAUGGGCGCAAGCCUGAUCCAGCCAUGCCGCGUGUGUGAAGAAGGCCUUCGGGUUGUAAAGCACUUUUGUCCGGAAAGAAAUCCCUGGAGCUAAUACCUUCGGGGGAUGACGGUACCGGAAGAAUAAGCACCGGCUAACUUCGUG